rnacentral:rRNA from 1 species
CCUACGGGAGGCAGCAGUAGGGAAUCUUCCACAAUGGGCGAAAGCCUGAUCGAGCAACGCCGCGUGGGUGAAGAAGGCCUUCGGAUCGUAAAACUCUGUUGUUAGAGAAGUAAGUGCGUGAGAGUAACUGUUCACGUAUCGACGGUAUCUAUCCAGAAAGCCACGGCUAACUACGUGCCAGAAGCCGCGGUAAUACGUAGGUGGUAAGCGUUAUCCGGAUUUAUUGGGCGUAAAGGGAACGCAGGCGGUCUUUUAAGUCUGAUGUGAAAGGCUUCGGCUUAACCGGGGUAGUGCAUUGGAAACUGGCAGACUUGAGUGCAGGAGAGGAAAGUGGAACUCCAUGUGUAGCGGUGAAAUGCGUAGAUAUAUGGAAGAACACCGGUGGCGAAGGUGGCACUCUGGUCUGUAACUGACGCUGAGGUUCGAAAGCGUGGGUAGCAAACAGGAUUAGAUACCCCUGUAGUC